AUGAAACCUUUUCCUUGCACGAUAUUAGGCCACCCUUCCUGGUUUUCAGAGUUCCUCCUCGAGUGUGCCUUUUAUAAACCAAAUCAACCCGGCGUUCUUUAGCACACUUCCGAAGCUUCCAUUGCAGCGCACCUCUUACGACCACGUAUCCCACUGCGUGAAAAGAGAAAGUCAUGAAGAUCGUCUUGGUUUUACUCGUGUGCGUAAUGGCUUUCGGUGUGCAUUCUAGCCCUCCUGCUGCAG